rnacentral:tRNA from 1 species
GGCCUGAUGGUCUAGUGGUAUGAUUCUCGCUUUGGGUGCGCGAGGCCCCGGGUUCAAUCCCCGGUCAGGCCC